AUGGUCUCCACGACGGUGUAUGGCGAGGCGUUGGUGAACGGGUGCAGGUCCACGUACAUCUCCAUCUCCUCCGGCGACAGCUCCACGCCGUCCACCGUGUCCUGCUUGCCGGAGCCGCGCUUGUCGAAGUCCUGCGCCUCGAACCUCGCCGCGAUGCUGUACUCCUUGGGGUACCGCUCCUGCGCCGGCAGGAACUCCCGCUUCCUGAGGAGCACGAGGAGGUGCGCCCUGAGCACGAGGCCGUAG
rnacentral:rRNA from 1 species